rnacentral:tRNA from 1 species
GGAGGGGUGGCCGAGUGGACGAAGGCGCAUGAUUGGAAUUCAUGUGUGGGGCAACUCACCCAGGGUUCGAAUCCCUGUCCCUCCGCCA